GGGAUCCGUGGCGCAAUGGUAGCGCGCCUGACUCCAGUUCAGACGGGUUCAAACCCCGAUCCCA